CAGCCGGCCGCGGUAAUACGUAGGGUGCAAGCGUUAAUCGGAAUUACUGGGCGUAAAGCGUGCGCAGGCGGUGUUGUAAGACUGAUGUGAAAUCCCCGGGCUCAACCUGGGAACUGCAUUGGUGACUGCAACGCUGGAGUGCGGCAGAGGGGGAUGGAAUUCCGCGUGUAGCAGUGAAAUGCGUAGAUAUGCGGAGGAACACCGAUGGCGAAGGCAAUCCCCUGGGCCUGCACUGACGCUCAUGCACGAAAGCGUGGGGAGCAAACAGGAUUAGAUACCCCCGUAGUCCCUGUCUCUUAUA
rnacentral:rRNA from 1 species